GCAGUUUUCUAGUCGCAGUGCGGCAAAGCAGACGCAUAGAACCAGGCACAAAGCAGCAUAGAUUUUUUUUCAUUCUUAUCUUUUUCAUACGAGGGGAAUAUUCCUGGUGUUAGCGUAGGAACAGACACAGCAUGGAUGUGUUGGCUUCCGCCUGGCAGCAUUUUCAGCUGAGCAGGGACUGCUCGGAGCUCUGUACCCAAAUUGCCUCUGAGGAAGAACGCCUGAUUUCCCACUUUGCGUACUAAGAGGGUUUUUUUCUUUAUGCUACAGUGAUGUACCUGCAGCAAUAGGACAAAGGAGAUGGCACUUGUCACUGCCUGUCCGACUGGGGCCUUUUGCGGGUACUCCACUGCCGAAGCUGUGCCAGCAUCCCAGGGUCAGAUAGAUUGGUAAUACAGUUUGCUGCAAUUUCUUACAUCAGUUAGGGCAAAGCUCAAACAAGAAACCAGACUCUCUGACCUAAAUCAGUCCCAGUCCUUCUGGAUACAGGGCAGCAGUCGACUAGCAAUGACACAACCAGCCAUCAAGUGGAGAGUCUCUGGGAUUGCAAUCUGUAUCAGCUGGAGUCUGAGAGAACGAAACCCUUUCGGGUAUCCAGUCGCUUCUUCUAAUACUACAAAUAUUACAACUACUACUACUGCUGCUACUUCUGUUUUUCUUGCCUGUAAGAAGCUGUUAAUUGCGAUUGGUCUCAGCCUGUACAUUUGCGUGGAUUAGUCUGUCUAUAACGCAGUCCUUAUCCGCUCCUGCUGGAAACCGGGGCACGAAGUCAGCCUGCUUUAACAGUUGUUUCUUCCUGCGUGAUGCUAUGCAACUAGAAUGGGUUACACUGACAACAAAGGAACAAGCACAAAGCACCACUUUCUUUGCUGGACUGUUACAGGAACAUAGCUCUUCUUCGAUAUGACACCCUGGUCUCUUCUCUUUGCUGGCUUUUUUGUAUUUUUUUAAAUUUAAUUCAUCUAAUCGAAGAGCCUAACAGACACCAUCGUGAAUGUGGCUUUUAAUCAUUUGGAAAAGACAGCAUGUGGAGACUGCGAUUCGAGACAGCAACACAUUUAGGUUAUUGCCAAUUUUAAAUACUUGGUUUGUGAAGCACAGCCCUAAGGGACAAGCUCAGUAACUGAGGGAGAGAUUGUAGAUAAAGAAAUAAAAAUGACAAGCGUAAUGGAGGCUCUGCAAAAGAGACUGUCAGAGAAUCAGUUCAUGGAUGGCAAUUUCACCAGUCUGAAUCUGAAUAAUUCAUAGAUUGAAAUUACCCUGCUUUCACCUUUCCAUUUAAACCGGCAUGAUCUGAAUCUCUAAUAAAUUUUCAAGAUAAAGUAAAAUGCCAAUUUGAAUCUGAAGAGCUUUUAAAACCAGAUGCUACACCCUGAAUCUUUCGAUACCUUUCACAAUUAUCCUGUGAGAACCGCACUUCAUCACGAAGCACCAUUACCAGUGAAAAUUACUGUGAUUACAAUAGCAACAAUAGAAUACCAUCAAAUGAUCUCUAAUCUACCUAAUUUACCAAGGCUGACUGUGUGCCCAUUGUGUUUCACUACGUCUGGCAUUGGAUCAAUAUCACAGUGGAACAAAAAUGCCUUACUGUGCUUCCUUUUGGUACCUUUAACUUUGACAGCACAGGAAAAAAAAAUCUACCUGCUGUUAAAUGUUUUUACAGCCAAUCUACAUGCCUGCUGUAGGAUCUGAUUGAUUCUCUAUGAUUUUCUUUAGUUCCUGGGUAUCAGAUGUCUUUGUGUUACUAAUUAGUUUAUAAUGUAUACUCAUGCACAAAGACUGCAGCAAGUGAGUGCCAGCACAGGGACACUGCACUGCUGCUGCAGUUGCAGCGCUCUCACUGGGGAAGCCAAAACGAGUUUGGUGCCUUAUGUGAAUAUUUACUUCUGUCUGAGUUAGAAAUGCUUUGUAGCAUCACCGGUUUUGGUCUUACUACGUGAAAAAUGUAUGCAAAAGCCAUGGUCAGGAAAAAUGAUAGCGUGUUAUACUAACAAGAUUUUCUCCCUGUUCAGCAAUUAGCAUGUGGUUGUGAGAGACAGGCUGUGACUCCUUCUGUGUGUGUGUGUGUGUGCGUGUGUAGGUACGCAUGCACAUACAUAAAUGUAAAGCUACUGUGCCCUGUGAAUGACUAUGUGCUGAUGAUCUCUGAAAGUAACAACUUUCUCUGACAAGCCAGGCGCUGCGUUUUGCCGCAAUCUGCUCAGUUGUAACAAAUCCCUCUUUUGGAGGUGUAAAUUUCCUAUAGGAUGAUGCGUGACUUCUGGAACAGUAAGUACCAUUUAUGCAAUAUGUUGGUGCCUAUAGCUCUGCUGCAGAGCAGUAUUUUAAGUGUAGUUUGAAUCCUUGUAGCAUAACCAGAAUGUGAAGAAGUGAGAAACAUGUACAGAAGGCUAGAAACAGGCAUUCUUCAUGGAGGCGACUGUAUCUGCUGUUUGUAUGUGUGUGAGUUGUACACUUUGGGCUUGUUUUUCAUUUUAUAAUCAGAUUUACUCUGCCUUCAGGGAAUAUUUUUUAAGGGAGGAAGGUAAGCAGUAUUUCUUCUUAUUUCUAUAACUGUGUUGUAUUUCUCUUGUGGGAAAUGCAUGUUUACAGCACAUAGUUAUAUAAUACAGCAUGAUCUCAUGACAUCUAGUUAAGUGUUUCAAUAUUUGUUCAUAUUAAAAUUGGGCAAGAAAGCAUGUUUAAAAUAUGGAAUUUUUUACUGAAAAUGCACUUCUAGAAAUUCUAUGAAAAAACAACUUACAGAUUUUGUUUGCAUUCAUUUUUGCUCUUUACUGUUGUUAAAUAAGUGCCUAUUCUAUCUUAAUACUAAUGGUCUUGAAACCUUCAGUUUUUAUAAGUUCUGUCUUUUCAAAACGUAAUUUACUGUACUUCUAAAUUUUCUGUAUAUUAAUGGAGACUGUUCUCUAGAGGCAGAAGAGGCAAAAGAUUUUACAGCUUGAUCUGUGAUAACAAAGGAACUUGAAAGGGCACAAAAUAUGAUUAUACAAAAUUUUUAGAUUUUAAAUGAUUCAGUAAGGUGAUUUAGCAAAAUGCUGUUCUUAGACAACACACUCUCAAGUUACUACACUAUCUGGAAAUAAUUAGUCCAUGCAAUGUUAUACUUCUAUUCUUAGUUUUCACGUAGUAUUCAAAACUUAACAGAGAAAAAGCUGAGAGCAAAUACCAAAACUUUGGUAAAAGUUUACUUAUAUACAUUAUGUUGUUGUAGUAAUAAAAUUGAGACAUUUAGACUGAACUUUGCUGAAGAGAACUAGUUGUUGUGGUUUAACUAUUUUAUGAAGAACAUUUUAUGGUUUCAUGUACAAGAUAUAACAUAGACUGAUAUAACUACUAUACUGAAAGGACCGUGCAAACAGAAAUGUGAAUGUUUUCAAAAUACCGUACAAGUACCUGGCAACAUUUACAGUAUUAUUAUUAUUGCCACACUCCUCCAGUACUACAUGCUGCAUUGAAAUCAUGGUCUGUUAACCAAUUGGAUUCCACAGAGUAUUUACAACACUAAAUUUUUUAUCAGUCUUUUCUGCUGUGACAGCCUGUAGAAGGCAGCUGGCCAUGGGGUGUGAGCUGUCCUCACUAACAAGUGCAGGGCACAGCUAAGGGAGAGUUCACAAGCUGUUGGUGGCUUCACAUAAGGGCCCAAUCCAAACCCUUCUAUGGAACUGCUCUGGAGUCCUCUAACUUUGUGUUUCUGCUAUUAAACUUUAAACAUGCCCCUGGCAUUCUCCCACUGCUCCAUGUGGCCUUUCCACAACAUGCAGUGCUGGUCAGGCCUAAUGCUGUUUGCCAGUGUGAGCCCCUGCAGGAGUUGCCAGACUCUGUUGGGGAAGCACACUCAGGAGGCAAAAGUAUCCAUGAUGCUCUGAAGAAAGUACUCUAAAAAAGUCUGGAAACCUUGGGAAAUGAACUCUGCCUUUUGGGGUGAUGUGUGUUUCAAAGGCAGCAGGAUUGCAGUCUGUCAGCAGGAUACACUGUGUGUGCAAAUGGGAAAAAAAAGCCUUUAAACCUUUUCAGACACAGGAUUAUGAAGAGAAUAUUAGCAAUAUUACCUCAUAGGAAGUAUUAAAAUGUAGUCAAGUCGUAUCAUCCAUGUAUUUUCUGAUGUGGUUAUGGCCAAUCAGGUAGCUACAGCUGCAGUGUUUCGGAUUUAUAAUUUUAUGUGUCAAAAUAAAUGGCAGACUGCAACACGAAACUUCUAACGUACAGCCACUAAUUUCAGCAAUAGGGAUUCAACAGUUAACAUAUAUCACAUCAAAAGAUGUAUUAGUCUGGUUUUUAUGCCUGUUGUUCACUGUUUUACACUUGUCUAUAAAUCAAUCUGCAAUGGCAAAGGGAGGACAAAACCCUUCUUUACAUGAGUUCCCAACAAGCACAGAUAUCCACUUCGGUGAAAUUACUCCCAUGCAUUUGGUGGACCCUUAUCUGCAGCUAGGCAGCAACUGUGAUGAAACCAUACACAUGAAAACCAUAUUGGAGCCCAUUCUAUUGCCACAGAAUUUAAUAUCAAGUCUCCCUGUGCCAUCAAUAUAAAAGAUAGAUCCAUUAACUUGCUUCCAUUACAUCCUUUUUGUGAAAGUUGCUGCUAUUUUGUUGUGUUUUUUUCUCCUUGAUUACAAGAGUCGUAUAUAGUUGACACAACACUGAACAGAAGAUCCUUUCUGUUCACCAGGACACAAGACCUGAGUAAACAUACACUGAAAUCUCAGGAUAGGUUUAUUUGACAACUGAAGGGACUGUCUCAUCUGUAGUUGAUAAUAUUUGUGCUUACUUGCUUGUCAAUUCUUCAUUAUCAUCUGCUAUAAAACACACAAGUUCUGAUCUGAAAUGGUUGUAUCUAUUUGGACAAGAGCCCUGAGGAUAGGAGGGUCUGUUGUGGGUUUCAUUGCGGUUUUUUUCACUGUACUGCUGCUUUGAAUUAAUUGCAACUGCCUAUGGAAAUAUGAUCCCUUAAGAAUGUAGAGAAAUACAUUAUUAAUGAUUAUGUAUGAAGAAUUGCUAGAUUCCCCUGUACUCUGGCUGCUAUGAAUUUCACACCAUGAUUCCCGAAGAAAAAUUAAAAACAAAGUAAGACCAAUUUAACUUGAAAUUAAAACAGCAGCAUUUCCAAACCAAUAAUUUUUGACACAGGAAAUUCAGAGUUAAACAGAAGAAAAUCCAAGUGGUUCAUGGACACAAUUAAAAUACCUGAGCAGCUCCUUUCCUCUUUGAUGCCAUAACUCCAGGAUGUGAUAGAGGUAAAUAAUUUUGCCAAGGCAGUUUAUACUACAUAGAUAGGAUCAAAACCCACCUUUGGCUUUAAAAGUAUUUGCACUGCAUUUUACAGUAUCGGUUCAGUUUCUUUAUGGGCUAUAAAUGUACACCUGCUCUGUGCUUUUAGCUGCGUAACAUAACCAGAUGUUCUGAAAAUCAAAUUAUUUCAGACCAACCAAAAGAGGGAAAUGAAAUCCUAAAUGGGAAGUGCAGAAGAGGCAAUGGGCUUCCCAGGUCUCAUGCCAGCAGAGACUAUUGCUGUGGGUUUUCCAGGUCAGGUUAAACUUCUUAUGGUGUUAGGACUUGUUAUUAAAAAAACCCCAUAGUUAAAAAUGAGUGGGAAUUCAAAAUAUGGCCAAAGUUUUGCCCAAAACCAUAAGUGGUUUUGGUUUUUUUUUCUAACUACAUUUGACAUUAUUUCUGCCACAGGCCUUGCCUCAAAGUUUACCAAGAAACUCUGUCCAAAAGAAUAUUUGCAAUGCUACACUUCAUUUGUAGGAGGUCAUGCAUAGUGAAGCACACACAAUGAAUUAGCAGUUGUGGCAAAUGCUGAAAGUGGGAAACAUUGUUUAAACGGAAAAAAAUAUAAAUUGAUAGAUUAUGGUGUUGCCACUGUACUGUUCACUUAUACUCAAUAUUUCACAGAGGUAGUGCAGAAAUGAAUGUACAGCUAAAUUAUAUGUAGUUACACUCAGGGAAAUGCUCAGAAGAAAAGUCUUAUGUUGUACUCAUCUGUUUCUGUUUCUUCUGCCUAUGUUCACUCAAAACCAAACUCCAAUGGCACAGCAGUCACAACAACUGGCUGCUCCUCCAACCUGCAGGUAAGAAGUUUCACUGAGAUAGCCAAAGGAUGAGAUCCCACUUCUUGUGGUCCUAAAGGUAAUGUCCUAGUUGGUGGGGUGGGGGGAGAGGCAGGUGUGCAGAUGGGCAUUGACAUGAUACACUUCUGACUGCCAUACAAAGCAAAAGAGGGAAAAUGCCAUUAUUAAGUAAUUGGAGUAGGAAUUACUACAUUUAAUUUCUACAUUUUCAGAGGCAGCUCUUUUGCAAACUUGUCAAAUUUGUACCUAGCAGGAGUAUCAUGUGGUGAAAACUGUCAAUGAGCACUGAGACUGUGGAAAAAGGGUGCAUAACCUGAGGGAGUCUACCAAUGUUUACUCAUACACAUAUGCACAGUGCUAGCAUUACUGUUCAGAUGCAGCUUUAAGUCCUUUUAAUAUGCCUGCAAAUGCAGCUGCCUAUGCCAUUGCACCCAUAAUGUCUGUAAUGUGACCACAUAUUUCAGAUUUGGCUUAAGCAGCUACAUCCCAUUUAAACUGGCCUUUUUGAUAAUGGUAUUUUUGCUUUUUCUUUGAGUGACCUAGCAUGCCUCUUGUUAUGCAUACAAGUAAGCAUGAAUUGUUGCAACUCCUUUUGUCAAAAGGUAUGGUUUUCUUCAAAGCUUGUCUGUACUCGAACUUUUCACGAGGGCCAGCCUGUCUUUGCAAUCUGAUGGGUUUAAUAUGGUUAUGAAUUGUGUGCAGUCUGUGUUUUUUGUGUUCUGUGUUUGUUUCAUUAUAUUUAGAAGUUGGAGUGCACCCUUUCCUUUGCCACACAACUUGAUGCUAGGUAAUUAAAAAAAUUUAAGGGCAUGUGCUUCACCUUCUGAAUGCCUCAGUGUGUCUGUGUGUCUGUGUGUGUGUGUGAGACUUGCUGAGCUCUCAGAGCAGAAUCUGGAGCCCAUGGGAGUAUGUGCAGGAUGGAUUUCAUUGGCGAAAAAAGCAAAAAACAAAAAAAGAAAGCAAUUUUAUAGUGCUUCUGAUUGCUUGCCUCAAUUUAGACAAUACUUGUAAAAUAGUCUAUGACUAUUUGUCAAAGUCUAUGAGUCUUUAUUUUUGUAAAUAAGUACCUCUAAACACAAUUUUUUCACCUUACAGGGCACUCCAUGAAAAUAAUUUCUUUAACAAAGCAUUAAAAUGCCGUCUCAAUGUAGUACUGAGGAAUUCCCAGCCUUCCUUCUGUUUCAAAUGUGGAGAGGUCCUUUCGUCUUCCACUACAGCAGUAGCCUAGGGACUCUUGGCAGGUACAUAUUUCUACCCAGAUAUUUUAUAUUGUUUGUAGAUAAGUACUCCACUUUUUUCCCAGAAAUUCCCUGCAUUCAUAACAGCACAGUGGAAAAUAUUUACAUUACUGUAUAUUUAACCACAAUACCUGUCAAGAAAAAACAAUUUUAUUGUGCAAGGCAUUGUAUGAAGGGAAAACAAAAUGUUCAUACUUUGGAAUUGAUUUUUAUCUGAAGGAAGAAUAAUCACUAAAUACUUGAGAAAACAAUGUACCAUUUUCAGACAGAAAAGAUAAUUUUUAGAAAACAUAUAACAAAUAAAGCUAUAAAUUACAGCUGAAAGAUUCAUAUAAUAAGAGCAACCUAGUUUUUGAACAACCUUAUUGCAAGUCUCUUAUCUAUUUUUAUCAAAAAUGAAAUGCACUUGCAGUGAUGAAGUGAUGAUUGCAUUUAAAAGGAAGUGUGACUCCCUCCAAAGAAUAACUGCUUUCAGGACCUGAUUUGAUGUUAGAAGUCAUAAUAAUAACCAAUCAUUCUUGCAGCAUUCAGAAACUUACAUGUAGCAGAAAGUAAUUUAAUAUGUGUAUAAGCCUUGAAAAGCUUUUCCUCUGCCAGUACCAGUUUAGUAAAGUUUGUGUGCCUUCUGCAGAGUUCUAAGAGCUUACCUGGGUUGGAGUGAGUUCUAGACAGGAGGUAGCCAAUAUUCUGUAUAUUUAUCAGUGCUCACUUAAAUACAAUGCCUGUAACAACCUACCAUGGUAUCAGGGAAGUUUCUGUAUUUUCUUUUAAACAAUUCACAGUAAAUUGAUGAUUUUUCCCUAACCCACAGACAGAACACUGAAUUUUAAGAGACAGAUUUGAAAUACAAAAAUCUAGAAAAUAAACUAAUGUGUCCUGGAAUAUCAAAAGUAGGGAAACUUCUUGGUUUAGACAGACAUGCAAUUUACACCAAAAGCAUUUGUGAAUAUUCUCAUUAUGUGCAUUUCAUUUUUUAAUUAUUGUAACUAUAAAGCAGGACUGCAUCUUCGGUUUGCUUUUUUAAAAAAAUGUGGUCAUUAACCAGCAUCAGGGCUGUGAGUUUACUUGAAUUCCUUCCUGAUCCAGGUUUAGUCAAUCUUGCUGUAUCUGCAUGAGAAAAUUAUUGAAAUGAGUGAGGUGAAGUUAUGUGAAGGGACAAGGUGGCUUUUGCACAUUUAGGAAUGCAAUUUCCAUUGAUGAUGGGUAAGUAUCUAGUUAUUUUAGAAGUGCCUGUCACCAAGUUUCUUAAAAGUAUAUUUACUCUUUCCUCCCCCCCUUUUAAGACUUAUCACCAUUUGCAAAGUACUUUUAUUUAAUAUUCUUCCUUACUUCAAAACUGGUUUAUUCAGUUUUCUGAUAGUGUAAUAGACACCACCAAGAGUAUUGAAACUGUGUUUAAUAGCUUCCCAAAUAUUAAAUUUUCCUGUUAGAUUAGAAAGUAGUCCAUUGAGAAAACUUACUUCAAAGUCAGCACAUCCAAAUGCCAGAGACAGAAAUUCAAACUAAUCCAAAACAAAAGGUAAAUCAGAAACUGUGUGUUACUGCCUCUAUUUCAUGAUAUCUCCAAUGCUGAUGACUACUAGAACCUUUCUACUGAUUUCAUUCUUUGAAGUGCAGUUUGCUAGUUAAAUCAUGAAUCCUCUCAGAGCUGGAAAACUGCUGGAAGCAGAAUUUUGGAUCUUGCCUGUGCCAUUUCACCACAGCAGAGACAUAAAUCUCACGUAAAACCUGGGGAUCAUAAAUUGAGGUUGAAUGCAACUAUAGUAACAGUAUAGAGACUAGCAGUGGGGUGUGGGGUGUAGGAUGGAGACAGCAGUCACAAGUUAGUAGGGCCAGGACUAAAAUCUGGUCUACUUCGUUACAUUUACAGAACCAGCUUUGGCAGGAUGCGCUACCUCAUAUAAGCCUUCAUCUUUUGAAUUCCUACCAAUGGUUUGGAUUUUGCUCAUGACCUCUUCACCACCAGCAAAGGUGUAAAACUUAAUGGAGAGAGACACCUUUGCUUUCAUCUAUCUGGCUUCUGCUGAGUCCUGAUCACACCAAAUGUGUUAAAUUUCUUGCCGUAUUGUAGUUUCACUUCCAUUGUUUACAGCCUUGAGAAACACAAUAACCCAGCACUUAUGGUUGCUUCUCUUUGUUUCUCCUCCUUGGAAAUGGCAGUUUCACUUUCAAAAGCUAAAUCAGCGGCUAUUCAUUUACAAGCCACAGUAAAACUUUACCAGGUCCCACCUGCUGGCUGGCUGCUAUAGGGAUGGGCAGACCAGACUUCACAGAGGGAAAACACAUUCCUCUGAUUAACAGACAAGGCAUGGUGUCCUUCCAAAAGUUUACUGAGGCCUUCAGGCUCAUAGCUUCAGUUAGAUGUAAAUGGAAAAAGCUAUUGAACACUGUAGCUGGUAAGUACAGGUAAGAAGAGGUUAAAAAAAAAAAAGAAGAGAAAAAACAUUUUCAUGCAAAGGUGAAUUGAAUUAUGUUGAACUGAAUAUUGAGUUAUCUUUUGGCAUAUUCACAAUAAGCUAACAGCUAUGUAGUAGAUAAUACAGCUUCUUCCACAGUAGAUCUUUUGCAAGUGGGCUUACAGAGAAUGCAAAUUAUAAAUAAUUUAUGAUAAAAAUACAUUUAUAAUUACAUACAUAUGUGCACACAUACACUUGAAAAUAAGAUUUUUUUUAACACAACUUUAUGCAUAUGCAGUCAUUUAACUUCAUUUUCAGUGGGUUCUGUCACUCUUUAUAAUUUCACACUGAUAGGGAAACACCACUACUUUGCCUUUGCAAUGUUUUGGUUUUCUUUCUGCUGCUUGGCUUUGCUGAUGAGAGAACACAGAUUAGUUUUUAAAUAACUGUAGUUCUUCAGAUUGCAUAGUAUACCACGGAUCUGAAUUUCAGGAGCCACUACAGUGUUGGGUGAACCACAUUUAUUAGCUAUUAAUAGUGAGACUAUAACAGGCAUCAGAAGCUGCACAAGAAAACCUUAGAAGACUAAACCCCUGGCUGCAAUCUCAGCAAAUUCUGUGUUAGUGGAAAUAAGCUUUGUAACACAUUACUUGUUUUCUUUGGACACCCUUUCUGAACUUUAAGUCAUUCUUCUAACUCAAAUAUGUUUGGUUUUUGCUUGCCUCUUUCUUUAUGAUAUUCAGAUUUCAUCUUUCCAUGGUGACUUUUUUCCUUAGCACUAAUUUAGACUAACAACAAAGGCACAUCCAAGGAACUCAGGGGCCAAAUAUGGCUCAACUGGUAUAAAUAAAUAGGCAGAUGUUAUUUCCUAUCUGUCUCUCGUUGUUGUCCACACUGUUAUAGUACUGUUGUCUACACCUUUAAAGAAACGCAAAAUAAAAGUAGUAGAAAGGCACUCUAUAAACCACAAAUUGCAUCUUCGCAUUAAAAAGAAUUAACUUCCAACCAUUAAGUGCAAUGAAAUAUCUAUUUAUCAAGUUAAAUUGUUUUCCUAUGGCACAAAUACAAUUACAGAGGCCUUUUACAUAUGGAUGGUACUUGCUUAAGGACUAUUUUUACACUGUAUGCAUAAAUCAAGUUUAAUUUCAAGUUUGUUGUUUGGGGUUUUUUACCCCAAUCUUUCAGGAGAUAGGCAAACAAUGUUGGAAAAAACCUCUUCAGUUAUCAAAAUACAGUCUUUUACUUACCAAGGGAACUAUGCUUGUGGCGUUUUCCAUGAACACAAAAAUCCUCAUCAUUAAAUAGCUUGAGCUAUUAUUUUUUUUGUCCCCACAACUUGUAUUGAAAAACUACUCUAGAACCUCACCACUUUUAUGGCCAGAAUCUCUCUAACUUCCAGCCUAAAUUUAUUCAUGGCCAAAUUACACCCAUUUGUUCUUGUGCCAACAUUGUCUGCUAGGGUAAAUAGUUCUUUUCCUUGCCUACUGUUUACCACCCUAUUGUGUUUUUAGAGAAUAAUUAUUUCCUGUAUCAGUUUUUGUUCCUACUAGACUAAACAAGCAAAAAUUUUUGAGCCUUGCUCUUAAAAGCACAUCACUGUGGUAAUCUAUCCAAUUUUUCACCUGUUUCACCUUCCACGAAUGUGAUGAAAAAGAUCUCUGCGAGAUCUCUCAGGUGCUUUAAGUAAUGGCAUAAUUUUUUUACUUUUGUCUAAUAAGAAAUAGUUUAUCUGGUUUAUGGUUAGCAUCUGCUUUUUCAUGGUUGUAUCCCACUGGCAACUCAGUAAGCCUGCAGUUAGCUUCUAUGCAUACAUAGAUCUAUCUCCUGUGUUAUUUACAACUGAUAUGCUCCUAGUUUACAGCAGAUUUUUUAAUUAAUCCUUGAGUGCAUGUCUUCACUGCCAACACCAUGCACUUCAAGAGUGAGUUUAGCAGUGUGUAUUUUUAAUGUGCAUUUUCCAAGGGUAACACAUGUUUUGGAUAGGCUGAUGCCAAAGAUAAUAGAAAAAUAAAAAGGAAUAAAGUUGUGAGACCAAAGAGAGGCACUCAGCACACUGACAGCACCAGGCACGACAUAUUAAGGAAUAUUGAGUUUUCACUCAAUGCUCCAGUGUAAUAUGAUAGAAAGUAAAUGUUUGAGUGUGAUACACUGCAUACAAUACACUAGGACAUUCUUUUUUGGCCCUGUAUACUUACAGCUGCUUAACUGUCGUAUUUCAAAAUAAUUAGGAUUAUUAUAUCAAUUACUUCCAGGGUAAAAAAAAGCUUUGAUGCUGCCUGGUUGUAAAGGGUCCAUUUAAGGACCAUACAUUCUGGAAUGAAGACUAUAUAACUCUUAAGUUUUAACAGAAAUGGAGACUUUCACAAGCAUGUUGAUGAUUUUAGACUGCAAGUUCAAAUAGCUAGGAAUUUAGAAACUGAAUCCUUAAGAAAAUGAUAGAUGUUUCCUCAUUUUGAUGUGGAAGCCAGCAAUCUAUAAAAUACCUUUACCUAUGCAAUUAUAGAUAGCAGAAUUCCCAUAAUUAGCAGCUUUGCCCUUUAUUAGAAAGAUAGACUACCUUCUUGAAGGAUGUUUUUAGAGGGAGAAAGAUUAUUUUAAAGUCAUGUGAUGCUUUGGGUUUUUUCAAUUUUUCAUAAGAGUGGUGGAUGAAAAAAAAUUAUUUAAAUUAUCUGCUAGGUUGUGCAGCUUUAGGAAAUUCUUGAAAAAUAUUUUUGUCAGUUUUAAAUUUGAUGGGAAUCUGCUUAUUGGGAAGGGAAUCUGUGUCUGCUCAGGAUUAUUUUAUUAAGUUAUUAAAAGGUAGUUUUACUUACUGUGUCCUGCUUGACUAUUGCUACAUAAUACCUUCUUUGAUGUUGAAGUGGAAAAGCGAACACAUUAACUUUUUGAUGCAUUAUAAGUAACAUUGAAUAUGCUUUCUUUAGUUUGGGGCACCCUUGUGGAGUUGAUAGCUGCCCAGUAAUCACUGCUGUACAAAGUGGGGUGCGGCUCUGGGGUGUCCAGCACAGGAAGGACAUCAGCCUGUUGGAGCGAGUCUGGAUGAGGGCCAACAUGAUGACCAGAGAGCUGGAGCAUGUCCCCACUGAGGAAAGGCUGAGAGGAUUGGGAUUGUUCAGCCUGGAGAAGAGAAGGCUUUGGGGUGACCUAACUGUGGCCUGCAGUACCUGCAGGGAGCCUGCAGAAAAGGUGGAGAGGAACAUUUCGCAAGGGCAUGUAGUGAAAGGACAAGGGGAAACAGCUUCAAACUGAAAGAGUAGGUUUAGGUUAGGUAUUAGGAAAAGCCUCUUGACUGUGAGGGUGGUGAGGCACAGGAACAGGCUGCCCAGAGAAGCUGUGGAUGGCCCUUCCCUGAAAGUGUUCAGGUCUAGGCCGGAGGAGGCUUUGAACGUCCUGCUCCAGUGAAGUCUCUGCACUUGGCAGGGGGUUUGAAACUAGAUGAUCUUUAAGGUUCCUUCCUUCCAAAACUGUUCUAGUAUUCUAUGAUAUGCAAAUAGUGGCUUCAAAAAGUAAAUAAAUCUAUAUUUCUGUCACAAGGUUUAUUUUCUUUACCCAUAAUUUACCCACUGUAUUUUUAGAAAUAUUUGAGACAUCAGAAACUUGCAGGCCUUCACUGCAGGAGGGUACAACCAAGUGAUCAUAUUAACUUGACAAGAUUAAUUUAAACAGUUCUUUCCCUUAAUAUACCUCUUUCUUUUUUGCUAGUUGUAAAAAGUAAAAGUUUUUGUCAAACUGGGACAAGGUUUGUUAUUAGUCUUUCCUCUUUAGACAAUGAUGCACUUUUUAUGUUGUGUAAGGAAAAGGAUUUGCAAAGUGCCUGACAAAGUGAAACAUCACAGAAAGUAAAAUGUGUAGUAGAGGGUAACACUAAUUAUUAUUUUAAUCUCACAGAGGUUCUGGGCUAAUUAAAAAAGAAUUAAACUACACAUGACAGAUACCAGUUACAUUUCUUCAUAUACUGCUGGAGGAUGCACAGGACCAUAGGGGUGAUGAAAGCAUUGCAAGAACAUACAAGAAAAAUAAAACACAAUUUCUUCAUCCAAGUGCAGUGGGUUUUGCAGGUAAAUAUGGCAUACUUGUUUGACAAGAUGUUCUUUUGCACAGUAUAAUUUUGUUAUUAAUACAGCUUCUAUAUAGAAAAACAUUUGUUAAGUGAUUUAAGAGAGGUUGGGGGGGCAGAGAGAGCAGAAAAUCACCCUUCAGCAGUUAUUUACAUGUGAAAUACUCAAUACAAAAUAAGAGUUUCUCCUCUUGUAUAGUAUCUUCUGGUGACAUUUUGAAAUAAAAUUCAAUUAUAAUUUCCCAAGCUGACAAAAUUUAUGCUUCUCUGAGAAGCUGGUCUCAUCAGUAAGUUAAUACUGUUUGGCACCUGUAUGGAGAAGCAUCCAGAAAAUAUUUGCUGUGUAAAAAAGUGAUUUAUUUUUUUUUUUCCUCAGUUGUUUUCUCUUCAUUACUUGUGUUAACUUCCUUGCCAUUAGAUUUCUUGGAGCUCUGAUUCAGGGUGAAACAGAUCUGUUACUUCCUGAAAAAAGAUUACUUAGUAUGGAGAUGGUAAGGUAAAUUUGGUGAAAUAAAUCUGUUUUAGGAGGGUUAAGGUGGAUGUGCACCAGAAGGAUAUGAUGAGAACUAUGAUAAGUUUCAUAUUGUAAGGAGUGCCAUGCUAAUUCAAGAUAAAAAGUGAAACAAAAAUCCACUCUGGGAAUUAGGAGCUGUGCAUCAGCAUGGAUGCUGCUGUGCCAUGCAGGCUAAUGCAAGCACAUGGCAGCUGAUGGGACAGAGCCCUGUGCCUCGCUCCAGCGCUGACUUCUGCUUUCCCUUCGGUCUGUCAUGGGAGUGGCUUAAAAUUAUAUAGUCUGCAAUGAUAUAGGUCUACAAUAUGAGGGCUUUGGCACCUUGGUCCUGCUUCAGAGUAGUUUAAUGCUGAGAGAAACUCUGUAGCUGAUGAGGAUUUUUCUGUCUUUCAAGUGACAUCUUAAAAUCAGGUGUGUCAGAGCUUAUUUUGUGUAGAUGACUGGCAUGUUGAAUGCAAGAAGUUGUUGACUUGUGCUUCCAGAGAAGGCAGCGUGUGUAAUGUGCACAGCCUGUGGGACUAUUGAAAUGAUAUAUCUGAUCAUUUGUGCCCCAGUUUCACUCCCCACACAUUUCCCACUUCUUUACACACAGAACUGCAGUAGGCAGGGCUGAUUUAGGAGAGCAGGUAUUCCCCAGCAGAGCUGAGAAGUGAAAGAAACUCUAUCAACUGGGAGCCAAAUAGCAGCAAUGGUGAGAUGCUGCAACUCAGGAAGGUUUAUAAAACCAUAGCUUAUUUCCAGUUUCUUUAAAUAAAUUAUUUCCCAUUUCUUUAAUAAUCACAGGAUACUGUAAUUAUUAAGGCAACAGGAAAUAAAUAAUAAAUUCCUCCCUAAAAAGCACUUUAUAUAUGAGAUGUGAAAAAUGGUGGAGUUGAAAGGGAGAUAAGGUGCUCACACUGUGCACCCAAGCUGGAUGUGGGUUACUCCCUUUAAGGUGUGUGGUCUAAGCUUCAGGUGAUGGGAGUGGUUCCACGUUUUUUGAAGUUUUGCUUUUUCUUCUUUUUUUCAUCUUCCUCCUGGCUUAUCACAGGCCUUUCCCAUGAGCAGUGUCAGUAGCAAAAAUUGAGCAGAUGUCUCACUGGGCUGUUCCCAUUUUGCUACCACGGUAUUACAUACACUAGGUCUCCCAGCUUUCUUUUUGUGUGUUCCCCUCUCUGUCUGAGCUUCAGCUAAACAGUUUGUUCAUUUAAAAAACACUAUCAACCCCCCCAAAACUGCCAAAAAUUACCCUCACAAAGGUCCUGCAAGUUCACUUCCAAAUUUGAAGCUGCUCUUUCUUUUUUUCGAAUCCUGUGACUUUAUCCUCAAUUUUGUUGAGUCUUUACAGGCUUUGUGUCACUUGCAGAAACCUAGAAGGUGGAUUACUGUAAUGUAAGAAUUAACUCUUAGAGGCUUCCAGUGUGACCAUUCAGGUUGAAAGUCCUUUUAAUAAACUUAAUCAGUUAAUGAUAAAAAAAAAAUCAAAAAACUUUCAAGCCAUUUUGGCUUUAACAGCAGAAAAAAGCCCAAUAAAACAGAUACUCUGACAAACUGAAAACAGCAAGUUCACUUAUUACUAAAAAGUAUAAAAUGUUAACAGAAAAGGUAUUUUUUAAGUAACAUUUAUGAGUGUUAUACACAUGAAUAUUGAACAUCUAUUCCCGUAAAAUAAUCUAGUAAGGAAAUAAAACAUCCAUUUGCAUUUUACCUUUGCACAUAGGUUUAUUAAGAUAAUAUAUGUAUCUUUUUGUAUGCUGAGCCAUUGCUUUGUCUCUGUCUCAGCCUGUCCAGGGUGUAUGAAUAUUGACUAACGCACACCCCAUGGUGUAUUAUUGCUUACUUGAAGCAUAAUACCACAUGACCUUGUUUUUUUCUCUUAAUUAUAUUUUUCCCUUGUAGGAAAGUAAGUUUGCUCACUCUGAAUCGUGCCAAACCGCAUAAUUUGGAAAAGAAUAUUGUGGCUCUACUUGGAAAGUACUAAUUGGGCUCUAGCCAUCACUGGGAAAGCUGUAUAGUCUUUUAUUAUUUUAACUGGCCAAAUGCCCUUUGUUACCACAUUAACAGCCUCCCUAUGGUGCAUGUAACUUUGAUGUUAUUUCCACUUUUAAGCUAAAUUUGACCAGAUGAAAGACACAAACCCUCCAAUUUUGAAAUAAAAAAAUAGCAUGUUUUGUUAAUCCUGUACUUCAGAAGGAAAGUCUGUGAAAAUGAUAACCUUUGUCUGCUGGCCAAAGUUUUUGUUCAGUAAACCCAUCCUGCCAGCUGUUCUCCUUGGCAAGAGGAAAGAUAAUAUUUUGGUAUCUCUAAUAUCUCCAUUUUGAGCCGAAGUUCUGCUUGUGCCAUCACUUAAAUCAUGCAUGUUAACAUCGGUCUGGCAAACAGUGCUGCACUUUUUAAACAGACCUCAGUUUGGAUGGUAUCACCGCAAUGUUGCAAUAGAGCUGCUUCAGAUUACCACAUACAGCUGAAAUCACUCGCUGCCUGUGGACUCUUACUGGCGCUCUGGACUGUGCUGCUGAAGAACUGCUUUCAAAGGCUAAAAAAGACACUGAAAGAGGUUUAAAGGUGCAUUUUAGUCCAAUGUCACCAGGAGCUGAAGGUGCAAAACACCAAGUCUGGGCUCCCACUCACAUCUCUUGAAGGAGACUGGACAAGGAUCAUCUUGGUGACUAAGAUCCAGUCCUUAGCAAGGAGAAGGGACAGCCAGAGAAACACUGGCAUUUCUGAGAGACACACAGUGGGCACCUAAAGCUCUAGGCCUAGACAGAUACAUUUUUCACACUGAGACUACCUGAAUGAACAUGUGCAUGGGGAAUGCUCUCUCUCUCCAGAUCCAUCUUUGACUGAAAGUUUUAAUUUCUGCUGGAACAUAAAGGGUGUUCUCAUCAUGUUUAAGAACAUUUAAGAAUGUCUUUCUCAGUUUACAGGUAACCUGAAGCCAGGGUGGUUACAGGCAUAUUGGAUACCACACCUUGGCAGAGGAUUAUUUCUGCACAUGUUUCAGGACAGCUCAUCACUAAAGACUUAUAAGGGGAGAAAAAAAAAAUUAUAAUCCUGCAAAAAAUUUACUUGGAUUCCUUGAAGGUUUCAAAGAUUUCUUAAAGUCCCUCAAUGAGCACAAGCAAAUUGAUUAGGAUAAAAGUAGGUCUCAAGUCAUUGCCUGAUUAGACAUAAAGCCUCUUUCACUAAAAUGAAGCAUGAGGGAAGACAAGAGAGUCUCUUAAAACAAGAAUUUAAUUCAUUUGUGCAUUACUGUAAUUAUACUAUUGUCAUAAA